rnacentral:lncRNA from 1 species
GGUGGCCCAGCAGCCAACGCAGGGGCUACAAGGCCAAUGGCCUAAAUCCGGGGAGGCGGCUCUGGCCGCGCCCCUUGCCCCCCAACACCCUUGGGCCUUGGCUGCAGCCCGGCCUCUCACUCUCCGGAGCCCAGCGUCCUGCGAAGGCUGAGGCCCUUGGAUCCCCAGGGCGGCGCGAUUCUGCGCGGCGUGGGCACCAAGACCAGGCGGUGCCCUCCGAUGCGCCCCGGCCCAUCGCGGAGGGGCUGGGUCUUCAGGCGGCUGGAAGGAAAGGCAAGAAAGCUAAGAGACGGGAAGAGAAAAUGCAUAAACAUUUAUUGAGCGCAGCCUGUGCGUCAGGCGUCUCGAUCUUUCGUGCACCUUCAUCUCAUUUAACCUUCCCUGCACACUCUCGAGGUCGGUGUCAUUCCCCACUGUUCAGAUGGGGAAACUAAGGCUUAGAGAGACGGAGGAGCUUGUCCGAGGUCACGCAGCCAGUCCGUGGGGAGCCAAGAGUCCGCCCUGCCCAGCUCUGACUCGGGAGCUCAGGACGUGGAGAGGGGCGACACGGGAAGGCCAGGCUGGGGCUGGGUCUCCCACGCUCGGAUCCAACGACGGCUGACGGAGACCCAUUGCAAGCGCGAUCCAUCCGGAGGAAGCCUUCCCUGCUUCUCUCUAGGGCGUGGAGAUGAAGUUCUGUUGCCUAAUGGAAGACGUCCAACUCCUCUACUAGCUCCAGUCGCUUUCAAAAUAAAGAAAACCAAUCCGAUUGCAAUUGGGAUAUGCGGAAUUCACCCGAGUUCUCUAAGUCAUCCCUUUUACACAAGCUGUUUAAGCAUCUACUGGGUACAAUGCAUUGAUUGGGCUCUCAAGGAACCCACAAUCACAGGAGGUGAAAGAUAGGUGCCCAGAGACCUACCAGAGGGAAUAUGGGGAGGAGCACUAGAAAAGAGUUCAGAAGAAAAGAGACUUCAUUUGGGGGAGCAAAGAGAAGGGAAGCAAUACCUGGAAAGGCUUCCUGGAGGCGGUGGAAUUUAAGCUGGGCCUGGAAGAAACAAAGAAGUGUGGAUUCUUUAAUGUGGGAGAGAGAUGGGUUGUUUGCCAGCUAUGCUGACAAGUCAAAGUGUGCCAGACCCAUACCUGGAGACAAAGUGGGGGUCACACUUUCACCACCUGCUGCCAUCUCCCGGCUGCACCUCCAACUUGGAGAAUUGUGAGUUGAUCAAGCCUUGGGCGGAAAUUCCAAUCUGUCUCAGGAUUGACAACCGAGGGCUUGGAGAUGACACUAGCAGCUAGACUUUGACCUUCCAGAGCUCCGGACUUGGGCCAGAAAGGACUGUCAAGGGCAGGGGCAGGAAAAUGGCACUGGGGGCACCCUCACCACAGCUCCUCACCAUAAGCCACACAUUCCUGCACAUUUCCCCGGAGGGCUCUGGUCAGAGAUGUACCUUGGCCAAUCUGAAGCUUGUCUUUCUGGAGUCACAGGCAGAUGUAGAUUGGGAAAAUGAAGACCCUUGGGGUGGAGGGGCCAGGGAAGGACUGGUUUCGGUUGUACUUGCCCAAGUAUGAUCUUCGCCUUCUGUCAGCAAAAUAAAAAAGCAUCAGUCACACCGAUUUAGUGGAGCCUUCAAAUGUAUUCUGAAUGGAAUUCUGCUUUUUUUUGUAUGCAACCAAUUCUUCAUUUGAAGUUGGAUGCUUUGCAAGCAGAAUGCAAUUCCGUUUUUUGUUCCUCGAGGUUUUGGCCUGUGUUAACUUAAGUGGGCACUCACACAAGUAUUAAAAAGAAAACCAUUCUCUUCUGGAAAAUGGAACAAAGUAGCAUUCACGAGGCAGAUAUAUAAUCUGUAACAACAAAUGAGCCUCCUAGUGCUGCGCAUUUCCAGCAAGCAUCCUGCCUUCUCUGUUUAUAUUAUAACUUUUCUCCCUGCAAUUAUUUUUAUUUUAAUUUUCUGUCACUUUAACAGAAACCAGAGCCUUUUCUUUUAAUGUUUUGUACACAACAUGUUCAUUUUGAUAAGAUGUUCUUUCCUAUCCUCUUUUAGCUUGCCUUCCUUGUUUAGAGUUCUGUAUCAGGAGUUUCUAAUAUUUCUCUCUCUUUUUUUUUUUAAGAACUUGUCCCUGUCUUGCUUUAUUUGUUUGUGUGAAAUUUAGUUUGAAAGGAGAUCAGAGAGAGCAGGAGGGGUUUGUAAUAAGAGAAUGACCGAAUGACCCAAAGGCUGAUUAUCUAUCAUUAACUGGAGACUCGGUGUACCCAAAUUACCAGGGAGACCUCAGUCUGCCGGAUCCUUACCCGGCCAGAAAGGCAAGCAUGGAAUGCGCACACUGAAACAGGCUCGUGGUGUUGCAAAUGAAGACACUCUGCUCACACAUUUUCUUAAGGAGAUUUCCUUCAAAACUCAACUCCAGUUCAGUGGACAAAUUUGUGAGAUUCUGACAUGUACACAGAAGGAAAGGCCCUAGAAGAAAAUAGAAAAGGCUUGGGAGAAACUGCCAGCACUAAAGAAAUCCAUUUCUGUGAAUUUGCAAAGGAGGCUUCAGAACUGGACAUCCCAGGAAUGCGACAACACUGCAGCCAGAAGUGGGAAAGCACAGGCCGUCAAGUCACAAACAAACCCUUCAGUCACAGAAACGGCUUGUCCAAAGCCCCACAUUUUAAGUUGCCAUUUGCCCUCUUUGCUUUCUUAUUUUAUUCUGAACCCCAGACCGAAUUGCAGGCUAGUUGAAGUCUGUUACUUACUGUUCCCAUAGAGCAGAGCGCGUAUGCAAAAUUACAACUACUUCCUCACCCAAAUGUUGAAUGCUUUCCUCCUGGCUUAGAAGAAAAUAUUGCUAAUGUGUAUGUAAUUUGCUUGAAACAAGAAUUUGGAUGAGUAGUUAACAUAAAUCCUGUGGGAUGUAUUUUCUUAUGCCACUUUUGCUCUCAACGCUAUAUUUUACUACAAAAUAGCAAAGAUCAGAUUUACAGUACCUCUUAGGACCAGUAUAAUAACAUUAAUAACACCUCCCAUGUACACACACUGGCUCUUGUGAAGCCCUUUCACAUGUAAUAUCUUUUGUUCCCUUUAGUCUGAAUAAGUAUUUUAGCUUCAUAGACAGACUUGGAUGCCUGGCAAAACAUCUAGCUCUCCCUUAUCAUGAAAUCUGUCCAGAGCAGCAGCACAUUUGCCAGUGACUGUGGAGCUCUAGUCGCGAUUAGUUGGAGAAAAUGAAACACCCACUGCCUAUAAUCCUGGAUGUUAAGAUUAUUCUUACAUGCUGCACACCUUAAACUUACACAAUGUUCUAUGUCUGUUAUAUCUCAAUUUUUUAAAAUAUUUUCCUCAAAAGAUGUAAGGAUGAACCAGUAUCUUAUUCUUUUUCACCAGUUUCAGAUUCAAUGACACAAAAAAUCUUGUAAAUCCAAGCAUUGCUGGAAGGUAAAUUAGAAGGGAGGGAAGGAGAGAAGGGAGAUAGGAGGGAGAGAGGUAAAGAAAGAAAUAGACAGAGAGUGGUUGGGAGAGAGAAAGAGAGAGAGAGAGAAGGGUUAAAUGGGGAGGGGGUGAAUUUACAGGCACCAAACAAGUUCCAUUUUCUCCACUGACUUAACUGUUUCCUAAGCAAAACUGGGCUGAAGGAGUCAUAAGCAAUCAUCCCCUCCAUGGUCAUCAUCGCAGAUGGACCAGCCCCUCCCCACCCCCAUCUCCACAGAUCUGCUUUAUUUGGGGAAAAGGAAGGAAGAGGGCUCGUUCACCAAAUACCCCGCCCCCAUCCCAAAAUCCAAAAAGAAAAUGCUCAGAAGAAACAAAACCUCAUAAGAGCCAAGGGCAGCUUUUCCUGCUCUUCAUUUUUGAAACAGACAUGAAAGUCCAAUCAAACUUGAUUCUGUUUUGUAGGUGUACACAACACAUUUCUGAAGCCACUGUCACUUGCUAUGUUUGUAGACAACUAUUUCCCAAAAGAAAAACAAGAAAGGGAAGGACUGAAAAACUCCAGUUAAAAGGAGACACUCAACAAUAUGCCCCACUCAACAAUAUGCCUUGUUUUAGAUGUCCUAAAGUCUCUGGAACUAAGUGGCUAACAUGUAAAAGGACUCAAUCCUACCCUAGCACCAACAGGAAUGCAAAGCCAUCAGAGUGUCGCAAGAAGUACCAUCCUUGGAGCAGGUGGGACUGGGGUUACAUCUUCAAGAACACAUUGCUUCUUCUGCCACCUUCUGGGUUGGAUGUUCUUUCUGGGGUUCUUAGCAUGCUGUGGGGUUCACUUUAUAUAACAGCAUUAUAGAUCUAUCAGAGAAUGCUCAGUCACUUCUACUAUGUUCGUUGGGGAAAAUAAGGUAAAACGAGAUUUGAAAAAUGAUGAGGGGAAUUGAGCCAUAAUUCCCGUAAACAUAAAAUGUGUGUUUAUGGCCCUCCGGCCUGGUUCUUUUCAGGUCCAGUUUAUUUUGAGUUCUCAUGAGCAAAACACAAGAUACAAACUGCCCUUGCUUUUGAAAUAAUAAAUACCUCAAAAAUAUCUGUAUUUUCCCUAAAAACAGACUGAAGUUUUUUUAAAAAAUAUAUUUAGUUUAAACCAGAUUGAUUUUAAAAGUAAUAUC